UACGGAGGGUGCAAUCGUUGCUCGGAAUCAUUGGGCGUAAAGCGCACGUAGGCGGCUCGAUAAGUCGGAUGUGAAAUGCCUCGGCUCAACCGAGGACGUGCAUUCGAAACUGCCGAGCUUGAGUAUGGAAGAGGGUCGCGGAAUUCCCGGUGUAGAGGUGAAAUUCGUAGAUAUCGGGAGGAACACCAGUGGCGAAGGCGGCGACAUGGGCCAAUACUGACGCUGAGGUGCGAAAGCGUGGGGAGCAAACAGG
rnacentral:rRNA from 1 species